CAUCCCAAAUUCCCCCCCGUCCCUUCCCCGCGGGUCGCCGCCGGCCGCAGGGGUCGCGGUGGGGUUUGGGGGCCGCGGUGGAUGAGGAGAUGGUGGCCAUGGUGGAGGCGGAGUUGGGGCGGAUGCUGGAGGGUUCCGGGCGGAGCGACCUCGUGUGGAGCUCCAACCCCUGCGGGCACGGGCAGUUGGAUUUCUUCGCGUUGUGAUUGGGGGGGAAAGGGUUUCCCGUCCACUUUUGGGAGAUUUUCCUGCCCCAAUCCCGAAGUUUUUCCCGAGGUUUUGUUGCCGCGUCCGGAGGGGAAAUUCUGGAACGUCGGAAUUGCCGCGGGACGGGAUUUCAUGAUGGAAUAAAUGUUAAUUAAUGAUUCA